UUUGCAUGACUGAGGGAUUUUUGCAAACGGAAACAUUUCUCUCAAAAACUCUAACAGCAUUGUCAAUGAGUUCCCGGUCCACCCUCCCAAACAUUUUAACUGGAAAAGACGAAUGCAGAAAGACAUUUUUGAAAAUUUCGAUCCCUCAUAUAGUUCUUCGUUCAUCUCAUUAAGUAGCGCGUAGAACUUUGCCGCUUCUCCAUUCGGCUCUUCAUGAUGUACACUUCUUCCGGGUUCGGUAAAAGCAUUUCCACCGAGAUUACAAUCAUCAGAUGGCAC
rnacentral:lncRNA from 1 species